UGGAGGAAUAUUGGUCAAUGGGCGGAAGCCUGAACCAGCCAAAGUCGCGUGAGGGAAGACGGCCCUACGGGUUGUAAACCUCUUUUGCCGGGGAGCAAUGCCCAGCUCGCGAGCUGGGAAGGAGAGUACCCGGAGAAAAGCAUCGGCUAACUCCGUGCC
rnacentral:rRNA from 1 species